UCCCGGUUGGCCCGGGCGGUCCCGUGUGAAAAAUCCAACACACGGCAAGGGUUGCGCUCGUUGCGGGACUUAACCCAACAUCUCACGACACGAGCUGACGACGGCCAUGCAACACCUGUCACUAGAUUCCCGAAGGCACUCCGCUAUCUCUAGCAGAUUCCUAGGAUGUCAAGGGUCGGUAAGGUUCUUCGCGUAUCGUCGAAUUAAACCACAUGCUCCACCGCUUGUGCGGGUCCCCGUCAAUUCCUUUGAGUUUUAAGCUUGCGCUCGUACUCCCCAGGCGGCAGGCUUAACGCGUUAGCUUCUCAGCCCAGAGGGUCGAUACUCCAAACUAAUAGCCUGCAUCGUUUACGGCGUGGACUAC
rnacentral:misc_RNA from 1 species